AUACGUAGGUGGCAAGCGUUGUCCGGAAUUAUUGGGCGUAAAGAGUGCGUAGGCGGUCUAUUAAGUCUGGUUUGAAAGCCCAUGGCUUAACCAUGGAGGGUGACUGGAAACUGGUAGACUUGAGUAUAGGAGAGGAAAGUGGAAUUCCACGUGUAGCGGUGAAAUGCGUAGAUAUGUGGAGGAACACCGGUGGCGAAGGCGGCUUUCUGGCCUAUUACUGACGCUAAUGCACGAAAGCGUGGGUAGCAAACAGGAUUAGAUACCCUGGUAGUCCACGCCGUAAACGAUGAGUACUAAGUGUUGGGGGAAACCUCGGUGCUGAAGUUAACGCAUUAAGUACUCCGCCUGGGAAGUACGGUCGCAAGACUGAA
rnacentral:rRNA from 1 species